AUGGUUCGGAAUGUCCCUGACCCUGAUAGCGAUGAUUUCAUGCCGCCAAGAGCUCAACAUGCGGGUGGCGAUAAUCACAAUGCAAAGAAGCAGAAAGCCGCGCGCAACAGGGGAUCACAUGAACGUCUAACAGAACUGUAUCGAGAUUUUGAUGACGCCCAGAAAGAAGCUGCAAAGGAAAUGGGGAUGCAGUCGCCGAUGAACAUUAAGUGCACCAACUUGAAUAACCCCAUGUGCGACUGGUUUGCGAGGUUAUACCAUCCGCAGAAGAGAGAAUUUGUCAUACCAGGACGUGGUAGGAUUCUACUAGAUGAAGAAUCUGUCUUCAACACACUUGGUGUCCCCAAUGGCGGCAUGGAUGUCCCUUACAAGGUGGAUACGAAGGUGCAAGUACGUCUUUUCCCUGAAAUGUUCCUUGGGCUUAUGGCCCUCCCAGCGAACUCUGCUUUUGCAAAUAUGAUUGGUGCGAUGCAAACAAGCGACGAUGACUUCAAGAGGAAGCUACUCAUGUACCUGAUCUCAAAUGUCUUUGCUCCCACGACAUUGUUACGCCCCAGCAGCAGAUGCUUUCCUGUUCCGGACUAG
rnacentral:rRNA from 1 species